AGAACAGAGAUUACAGUAGAACAGAGAUUACAGGGUGUGUAGAGGACAGUAGAAUAGAGAUUACAGGGUGUGUAGAAUACAGUAGAACAGAGAUUACAGUAGAACAGACAUUACAGGGUGUGUAGAGGACUGCAGAACAGAGAUUACAGUAGAACAGAGAUUACAGUAGAACAGACAUUACAGGGUGUGUAGAGUACAGUAGAACAGAGAUUACAGUAGAACAGAGAUUACAGGGUGUGUAGAGGACUGCAGAACAGAGAUUACAGUAGAACAGAGAUUACAUGGUGUGUAGAGGACAGUAGAAUAGAGAUUACAGGGUGUGUAGAAUACAGUAGAACAGAGAUUACAGGGUGUGUAGAAUACAGUAGAACAGAGAUUACAGUAGAACAGAGAUUACAGGGUGUGUAGAGGACAGUAGAAUAGAGAUUACAGGGUGUGUAGAAUACAGUAGAACAGAGAUUACAGUAGAACAGACAUUACAGGGUGUGUAGAGGACUGCAGAACAGAGAUUACAGUAGAACAGAGAUUACAGUAGAACAGACAUUACAGGGUGUGUAGAGUACAGUAGAACAGAGAUUACAGUAGAACAGAGAUUACAGGGUGUGUAGAGGACAGUAGAAUAGAGAUUACAGGGUGUGUAGAAUACAGUAGAACAGAGAUUACAGGGUGUGUAGAAUACAGUAGAACAGAGAUUACAGUAGAACAGAGAUUACAGGGUGUGUAGAGGACUGCAGAACAGAGAUUACAGUAGAACAGAGAUUACAUGGUGUGUAGAGGACAGUAGAAUAGAGAUUACAGGGUGUGUAGAAUACAGUAGAACAGAGAUUACAGGGUGUGUAGAAUACAGUAGAACAGAGAUUACAGUAGAACAGAGAUUACAGGGUGUGUAGAGGACUGCAGAACAGAGAUUACAGUAGAACAGAGAUUACAGGGUGUGUAGAGGACUGCAGAACAGAGAUUACAGUAGAACAGAGAUUACAGGGUGUGUAGAGGACUGCAGACACUCAUACUGAUGAUUCAUGUGUGCUUCUCUUUCAAUGGACCUUAUUCAUGCGGCGGCCUUGACUGUUUGGAAACAAUAAACACGGGAUAGGAAAUCCCAGAGGGUAAAUACCAUACGUAGCCACCCUCUAAAGCCACUCCCAACAGAAUGUAUGAUGAAGAAAUCCACGAGAUCACUAAAAGAGGGGUGUAAGAGAGAUAUCAAGGGAGAGGCUCUGAGUGUGAACAGAGAGGCGUGUUUCCUCAUUUGAGGCUUCCUAUUUGUCCACGUCCCUUCAUGGCUGUUUACAGUAUUUGAGUCACCAGCAAUAUAAUAGGAUGCCUCUUAUGGUGUAGAGUAGUAUGUCGAUAAACAUCACAGGGUGGGGCUGGCGAGGAAGCCUGCGUUUUCCCUGCAGGAUAUAGGCUCGUCUGCUGGUUGAGAUGUAUCCUGUACAGGGGAUGGCCUACCAGCAGAAGAAACCCCUGACAGAAUCACCCACCAACCAAGGUCCAAGCGGCGUGGUAAAAGACAGCUACGAAAGCAGCAGCAGCAGCAACAACAGCGGCCAGCAUCACAGGAGGAAUGGACAUGGGAGGACAUAUUGAAUGGAGAGGGACCCUGGGUACAGGCUGGGGAAUAUCGCCGGCCUCAAAGCAGAGCUGGAGGCAGCGAUAUGAGGCAGCGCGACAGCUCCUCAGAGUGGCACCAUGUCAGUGAUGAAGAUCGGGCCAGACUGAUCAACAAAUCUGAAGAUGGAGAGUUCUGGUAAAAUGGACCGACGUGUACUCCCAAUAUACCUUUACAUGAACUAUCAUAAGGAGACCUAUUUUAGUCAUGUUGUCAUGUUUUAAUGGAUGUCGUUCUCAGACUUCCUCAGUCAGUACUCUCGUCUGGAGUUCUGUAACCUUACCCCAGACACCCUCUCAGAAGAUGAGAACCAGAAUUGGGCUCUUAACAAGUUUGAAGGCGCCUGGAGGGAAAGGUUCCACAGCCGGGGGCUGCCGCAACUUCCCCAUUUCAUUCUGGCAGAACCCCCAGUUUGUGAUCAAGCUGGAUGAACCUUCCUCGUUGGACUGAUCCAGAAGAACAGACGCAGAAUGAGGAAGACAGGAGAGGACAUGCAGACCAUUGGAUCUAUGAGUGGCUGAAUGUGUCUCUGCUCCAGAAGAAGGAUUCUACAUAUUGAGGAAGUUUUACUGAACACUCACACAUUCACUUUGAUAAUAAAAACAUAAGUGAUGUUUUCAUUUCCAGUUUGAUUCUGAUCCACAACAGCAAAGCCCUGACAUUUGGAACGUUUUAAAGCUAAUGGAAAACAGGUCUAGUUUGCGGACAAGACUUUAAUGCUCCGAUGACGCUGUAGGAUUACAUUUACAUGCGAGUCAUUUAACAGACUCUCUG